rnacentral:lncRNA from 1 species
AAGGCAAAGAGGCGCGGCUGGAAGAACCAGACUGAGAAAGUGCCACAGGGCGGGGGCCGCAUCCGCCCCUCGGCUUCUGGUUACUGACCCGACGGCUUUGUGAGUGAAAGUGAAGAGACACUUCGAGGCAGGUGUCUGUGCUCCCCAUUCAUCCCUGUUUCCGUGGCUAUCUUGACUUUCGGGGUGAAAAGUGAGGAGGUCCUGGAACCAAUCCCCUCUGAUACUGAGAGACAACUAUUACACAAGAGAAAUAUUCUACCAUUCACAAAAUCUCGUUUAAGUGUUGUGAAAUACAAACACCAGGGAAUCAAGAACUUUAGAAAAUUGUGGCUGUGUUCCCAUAUGUGGUACAAAGAACCAGUGAGUCCCAUUUGUUGUGGUUCCUGCAUUCGAUGACUCCAGAUGUGCCACCACCGAGCUAGUCUUAUGACAACCUAGAAGGCAAAUUGGGAUGGCCCUAUAUUUGUCACUGAGAGCAGAAGGGUUGAGAACUUAGAUCCUGACAGGAGGCCCACCUUUAUUGGAGAAAUGGCUCUGCAACUUAGGACUAUUACAACUUGUAAAAAUUAGUGAGUUAUACGUGGGAAGCAUUUUGGCCUCACAAUUGAGAAGCAGAGAAGUGGUUCAAGGCUCAUGUAAGACUGCUGGGAUUUGAAAUUUAUCCUAUUAUUUGAAGACUGAAAUCAAAAUAUGAAGGUGGAGCAUCAUGUGUGCCUUCUGUCUUGUUCUCUACUAGGGUGUAAACCAUUUAACUAAAAAUAGUCUCCAAUUUGACACCUUCCCAACAUUUCACUAGUAUACUCCAAAUCUCCAUGCAGGGUUACAGACCUAUUUCAGCUGGCUCCAUUUACUCUGAGGCAGAUAAAGCUGAGAUUGCAACAUCAGAAGCAGUUCAACCAAUCAUUAUGUACAAACCUCAGCCCAUUUGUAUAAUGCAAUCCUUCUGGUAG